GAGCUGUGUCUGUGUGUAACAGCACUUGCCCCUACAGCCCUGCUAGAGGCUACCUGGGGGAGCUGUGUCUGUGUGUAACAGCACUUGCCCCUACAGCCCUGCUAGAGGCUACCUGGGGGAGCUUUGUGUGUGUGUAACAGCACUUGCCCCUACAGCCCUGCUAGAUGCUACCUGGGGGAGCUUUGUCUGUGUGUAACAGCACUUGCCCCUACAUCCUUCUAGAGGCUACUUGGUGUAGCUUUGUCUGUGCUGUGACAAUUAAAAAUUGGUGGUGAGAUGUUGACUACCUCGCCUGGUACACAGGAGGUCAUGGGUUCCAUCCUAGACCCUGUGAGAUGUUGACUACCUCGCCUGUUCUACAGGAGGUCGUGGGUUCUAUCCGAGACACUGGGAGAUGUUGACUACCUCGCCUGGUCUACAGGAGGUCGUGGGUGCCAUCCAGACACUGGGAGAUGUUGACUACCUCGCCUGGUCUACAGGAGGUCGUGGGUUCUAUCCGAGACACUGGGAGAUGUUGACUACCUCGCCUGGUACACAGGAGGUCGUGGGUUCUAUCCGAGACACUGGGAGAUGUUGACUACCUCGCCUGGUCUACAGGAGGUCGUGGGUUCUAUCCGAGACCCUGGGAGAUGUUGACUACCUCGCCUGUUCUACAGGAGGUCGUGGGUUCCAUCAGAGACCCUGUGAGAUGUUGACUACCUCGCCUGGUCUACAGGAAGUCGUGGGUUCCAUCCGAGACACUGGGAGAUGUUGACCACAUCGCCUGGUACACAGGAAGUCGUGGGUUCCAUCAGAGACACUGGGAGAUGUUGACCACAUCGCCUGGUACACAGGAGGUCGUGGGUUCCAUCCGAGACACUGGGAGAUGUUGACUACCUCGCUUGGUACACAGGAGGUCGUGGGUUCCAUCCUAGACACUGGGAGAUGUUGACUACCUCGCCUGGUACACAGGAGGUCGUGGGUUCCAUCAGAGACACUGGGAGAUGUUGACCACAUCGCCUGGUACACAGGAGGUCGUGGGUUCCAUCCGAGACACUGGGAGAUGUUGACUACCUCGCUUGGUACACAGGAGGUCGUGGGUUCCAUCCUAGACACUGGAAGAUGUUGACUACCUCGCCUGGUACACAGGAGGUCGUGGGUUCAAUUCUAGAUCCUGGGAGAUGUUGACUACCUCGCCUGGUACACAGGAGGUCGUGGGUUCCAUCCGAGACACUGGGAGAUGUUGACUACCUCGCCUGGUACACAGGAGGUCGUGGGUUCCAUCCCAGACACUGGGAGAUGUUGACUACCUCGCAUGGUACACAGGAGGUCGUGGGUUCCAUCAGAGACACUGGGAGAUGUUGACCACAUCGCCUGGUACACAGGAGGUCGUGGGUUCGAUCCUAGACACUGGGAGAUGUUGACUACCUCACCUGGUAGUUCAAUUUUGCCAAUGAAAAGCUGUCACAUGGAAGGAGCUGUGAUCUCGGUGAUGGUGAUGAUGGUGGUGGUAGUUGUGGGUAUUGAGAUUUGCUGAUGUUACCAAGGUUUUGAUGUUGCUGAUUAAGUUUGCCAUUGUUUGAAUUAAAUAAUUGAAGCAAU